CUGGGCUUGACAUGCGCCAGACAUCCCCAGAGAUGGGGCUUCCCUUGUGGUUGGUGUACGGGUGGUGCAUGGCUGUCGUCAGCUCGUGUCGUGAGAUGUUGGGUUAAGUCCCGCAACGAGCGCAACCCUUGUCCUACGUUGCCAGCAAGUCAUGUUGGGGACUCGUGGGAGACUGCCGGGGUCAACUCGGAGGAAGGUGGGGAUGACGUCAAGUCAUCAUGCCCCUUAUGUCCAGGGCUUCACACAUGCUACAAUGGCUGGUACAGAGGGCUGCGAUACCGUGAGGUGGAGCGAAUCCCUUAAAGCCAGUCUCAGUUCGGAUCGCAGUCUGCAACUCGACUGCGUGAAGUCGGAGUCGCUAGUAAUCGCAGAUCAGCAACGCUGCGGUGAAUA
rnacentral:rRNA from 1 species